UCAGAGGAGUUUGUUUUCUUUUUCUUUUUUUUUUUCCUAUAAAGUUUAAAUAGUCUUUUGAGUGAAUUUCUGGUCAUUGCCUAUGCAAAUGUAAGAAAUCUGGCUUUAAAUAUUAGUCAGUUUCAUGGCUAUGACUAAAUUGUUUUUCUUGUAUAACUAAGUAAUUGUAUGACAUGAACUAAUGUUUUCUCUCCCCUCCCCAUUCCCCUUCCUUUUGGACAAUGCUUUAGGUAUAUUGAAAUAUUUAAGAGCAGUCGAGCUGAAGUUAGAACUCAUUAUGAUCCACCACGAAAACUUAUGGCCAUGCAGCGGCCAGGUCCCUAUGACAGACCUGGGGCUGGCAGAGGGUAUAACAGCAUUGGCAGAGGAGCUGGCUUUGAGAGGAUGAGGCGUGGUGCUUAUGGUGGAGGCUAUGGAGGCUAUGAUGAUUAUAAUGGCUAUAAUGAUGGCUAUGGAUUUGGUUCGGAUAGAUUUGGAAGAGACCUCAAUUAUUGUUUUUCAGGAAUGUCUGACCACAGAUAUGGGGAUGGUGGCUCCACUUUCCAGAGUACAACAGGACACUGUGUACACAUGCGGGGAUUACCAUACAGAGCUACUGAGAAUGACAUUUAUAAUUUUUUUUCACCACUCAACCCUGUGAGAGUACAUAUUGAGAUUGGACCUGAUGGCAGAGUAACUGGUGAAGCAGAUGUUGAGUUUGCAACCCAUGAAGAUGCUGUUGCAGCUAUGUCAAAAGAUAAAGCAAAUAUGCAACACAGAUAUGUAGAACUCUUCUUGAAUUCUACAGCAGGAGCAAGCGGUGGUGCUUACGGUAGCCAAAUGCUAGGAGGCAUGGCAAACCAGUCCAGUUACGGUGGCCCAGCCAGCCAGCAGCUGAGUGGUGGUUAUGGAGGUGGCUAUGGUGGCCAGAGCAGCAUGAGCGGAUAUGACCAAGUUUUACAGGAAAACUCCAGUGAUUUUCAAUCAAACAUUGCAUAGGUAGCCAAGGAGCAGUGAACAGCAGCUACUACAGUAGCGGAAGCCGUGCAUCUAUGGGCGUGAAUGGAAUGGGAGGGAUGUCUAGCAUGUCUAGUAUGAGUGGUGGAUGGGGAAUGUAAUUGAUUUUGAUCACUGACUCUUGGUCAAAAAGAAAUUUUUUUAAAACCCUUCAGUUUAACAGUUUUUGCAAUCCAGCCUUGUGGUUUUAAUGCCUGCUCUCUUAAGUGAACUUUGGCAUCGAUCGCUCAAAGAAGGUUCAAUGUUGAACAUAGCAGUCACCUAGGAUGAUAGGGCAAAGUUGAGUAACUUUA
rnacentral:lncRNA from 1 species